UACGUAGGUGGCAAGCGUUGUCCGGAUUUACUGGGCGUAAAGAGCGCGCAGGCGGUCGUUCAAGUCGCGUGUGAAAGCCCCCGGCUCAACUGGGGAGGGUCACGCGAUACUGAUCGACUGGAAGGCAGGAGAGGGUAGUGGAAUUCCCGGUGUAGUGGUGAAAUGACGUAGAUAUCGGGAGGAACACCAGUAGCGAAGGCGGCACUCUGGGCCGGUACGUGACGCUGAGGAGCGGAAAGCGAUGGGGAGCAAAGCAGG
rnacentral:rRNA from 1 species